rnacentral:lncRNA from 1 species
CAACGGGUCAGAUUUGGGGCGGAUUUUUAAAAACACGAACCUGAACCCGACUACCAAAUCCGAAACCCGAACCCGAACCCAAACCUGAACCCGACGGAUUUUAAAAAUCCAUAUCCAAACCCGAACUCGACCAAAAAUCCGAAACCCGAACCCGAACCCGAACCCGAAAACCCGAACAUGAAUCCGAAAGAAACCUGAAUCUGACCAAAAACCCAAAACUUGAUUCUAAACCCAAAAACCCGAACCCGAAAAUAAUAUUUACCAAAUUUCGAAACAUAUUAUACAAAAAACUAAAAACAAAAGAUUUUUAAAAAAUUAAAAAAAAUAGUUUCAUUGCCCAACAACCCAC